GCGGGCAAUUUAGCUACCUGAGAUAGUGAGCAUGAAGCAGCUCGAAGUAUAGAUCCCAUGAUCCUCUUGUGAAUACUACAAGGAUUAGUGAUGCAUUUAGAAAUGGUCCAGAAGGUAAUAGGAAAAGCAUUCUUGGGACAGAAGAGCAUAUUAUCUUAAAGUUAUCAUUCCUCUUCCCACCUGGCGGUAUAUCAAUGUCUUUGGAACAGCCUUGCUCAGUGGGGGCCAUGAACAAAGUUUUGCAUUUAUUCUAAUCUGUUACUGUGAUGGUCUUAUCUAAAUGUCCUUUUCAAGACCUCUACCCUCGGUGGGCUGGAAUGUGCCUAGAUCCCUCCUGGGAAUUAUUUUGGAUGCAGAGGGGGUGUUUCCUUCUGGGUUCUCAUUCUUGGUAAGUGGAAGCCACCAGGUGUCCAAGCUUUGUCUGGUUGUUUCCCCAGAUUGAAACUCACAUCUCUGCUUGUGUGGGUUGCCACUUCCUCUCCAAGCUUCUUGCUCUCACAGAUUUCUACCUAGCUUCUUACAGAUGUCUCCAGUUUGGAAUUCUAGUCACCCUCUAAGUUUCAUCCAAGUGAGACUUAUCUUUUGGCUUAAAAUCCUGAAUGACCACACUGCCUGUGGAGGCCAAAAUGACUUCACAUGGGGUAAGAGGUCCAUCGUGAACCGAGGCUGACUGCCGGGGAGUGCCUUUUGUUAGCAUGAGCUGCACACAGCUCUGCACUCACAUGCCUUUGUGUCCUUGGCUUGUCUUUGUGCCAUCCGAGUCCUUCCCAGGGCCCAUUGGUUUGGUAGACACGUUUCUCCUAGCACAAUGGAUUAGUGGCAGGUAUAUGAACUUCCCAAAGAGAUGGGGGGCUGUCUCCUCUCUGUUGCUUCUCUAAUGUCUCAGACAAUUCCUUCAUUCCGUAGCUAAAAACUGAAGCCCUGUGAGGCAGGGACCAUGCUUUGCUGGUGUUUAGAUGCCCAUCAGUAGCUAUUAUUGGCUUGAUUCUUUCAUUCAGUGACAAUUUCCUAUACCUUGGUAAGCCUUUGAUGUACAGCUUAUAGGAUCUCGAUGGUAAAAGGCUGACCAGCACACGCCUGUCUUACUUCAGAAUAUCAGAAAGUAAAACAUAGCCACACAUCCAUAAUCCCUUAACACAAUUACCGCCGUAAAACCAGUCAGCAAGCAUUGAUCCUUCUUCCCUCCACCGUUAAUUAUUUCUCUAUGAACUGAAAGUUCAGCGAUGAGGAGAUCCAUUCCUAGGUUUGUUGGCAGCAAGAAGAUCCUUUUUCUGAAAUGACAUGAUGACUCAAGCCGCAAUCUGUAUCGUCUCAUGAUGUAAGGGCUUCUUGGCACCAACAUCCUCUACACUGUCUGUGUGUUUCGAGCCCUUAGAUAAAGUCGGCAGAAUGGCUUAAUGGGAACUGAACUCCAUCGGGGUCUCCUUGGCACUUCCUGCAGGUCACCACAAAACUGACCAUUCUCCUUUGUGACCCGUGUUUCUACAAGCCCACUGGAAUAACAGUUGUCCCUCUCUGAUUUAGUAUGGCUACAAUAACAGUGGGAACAUGAGGACUUGUGAGUGGGUUGAACCCAGAUUUUAAUCCAGUUGCGUCCCUUUGAGCUGCGUUACCAUGGGCGAGUUUCGCUAAACUGCCCUCAUUUCUAAGGUAGGAAGGAUAUUACACUCAUGUUGAGAAUUAAAGUUAUUACCUACCUAAUGCAGCGCAGUCCCCAUUCACCAAGUAUGGACACAUCUUCUAUGUAAAAAAAGGUAUUUUAAUAUGAAAAUUAUUUCUUGCUUCCCCUCCCAACAAAAUUACAUGCUGCUUCUCACAGCAUACAAAUUACUGAUUAGAAUUGUUUAUACCUAAUCAGUUCUUAACAUCUUCUUUAUUUCAAGUCACAAAGUUACUGUACCACAGAAAGUACCCCAAUUUCCUGCAGGGAUGUUAUGAGUAAGGUCUGCAGGGAACAAUCAAUCCCCAUUUAAAAAACAAUUGGCAUUCUGCAAUUGUCACUGCUACUAUCUGCAAGGAACUCUGUGAAGUGCAUUUUAAACCAGGAUGUCUGGCUGCCACAUCGCUGUGAAAUGUUUGAAUUUUAUGGUGCUUAAAUAUUUAAUGAUUCGUUGGAAAAAUGUGAAACAUGCCCAUUAAAUUGCAUCCGUUUCUCU
rnacentral:lncRNA from 1 species